rfam:Parcubacteria bacterium GW2011_GWA2_56_21 TY94_C0017, whole genome shotgun sequence.
GCCGGCAUAGCUCAGGGGUAGAGCAGCGCAUUUGUAAUGCGCGGGUCGGGGGUCCGAAUCCCUCUGCCGGCU